rnacentral:sRNA from 1 species
GCUGAGUGUGGUGGUGCACACCUGCAACUCCAGCUACUCAGGGGGCUGAGGCAGGAGGAUCAUUUGAGCCCAGGAGGUUGAGGCUGCAGUGAGCCAUGAUCACACCACUGCACUCCAGCCUGGGCAACAGAGUGAGAUCCUGUUUCAA